rnacentral:tRNA from 1 species
GCCACCUUAGCUCAGCUGGUAGAGCAAUGCUUUCGUAAAGCAGAGGUCCCCGGUUCAAAUCCGGGAGGUGGCUCCA